UUUAUUUUCAUUGUUCCGAUUCUAUUUGUUUGAGUAUAAUGUGGGCUUGCUGUUAAAAUUUUGCUUUGGGUCCUUUUUUCCUGUCUAAUUGUAGUUUUUUUAAUUUGCUUUUGCAUGUGAAGGUAGGAAAUGGAGAAUGCAAUUAUGCCAGCAACUCCACUCUUCAGGAGCCAAGUAAUAAACUCAAUUCAUGUUUCCUUAUUUCAAGAGAAAGGCAAACCUGUUUUAGAAGAUGCCAUCAAGAAGAUGUCCAAUGAUAUUCAUUUUUAUUUGACUUGCGAAAGAAGAAGAAGACCACUCUUGAAUGGUGAUAGAUUGAAGAAGUAGAUAUUAAUAAGUGUUUGGACAAUUAUGUCUUUAUUAUUUCGUUUUCUUCUAUAGAAGUUCAUAUUUUUUUUGUUUCAUGCGAUUUUACUUCAUUUCCAUUAUGAUGUUUAUGUUUUUGUUUCACUUGAAAAAGAAGAAGAUACUUUAAAAAUGGUGUAAGACUUGUGAAAAUGGAUAUCAACAAAAGCGCGAACAAUUAUGCAUUUA